GCGCAGGGCCGAAGCGAGGGGAGCGCUCGGAGGCGCUUUCCGCGCAGGAAGCGGCUUGCGCGCCCUGAGCCUUGGAGAGGUCGGGGGCGCUGCGCCCUAGCGCACGGGCCGCUCCCCGGCUCAGGCAGCAGGGCCGCGGGGUGGCGUCCUGUGCCGCCGCCGCCGCUGGCGGGAGGGAGAAGCCGCUCAGUCCCCGGGGCCGUCUCCGCGCCCUGGAGCCGAGCCGGUGGGCGGGGAGGGAGCCCAAGCGCGGCGCAGCCCGGCGAUGGUGCCCGGCUCCCGGCGGCGGCGGCGCCCGGGGGGAGCCUAGCGGCGGCGCCCCGGGAGGCGAAGGAGAGCCCCCCCCCCCAGUGCCGGGGGGCAAGGCGGCUGGGAGCUGCGCGCCGGUGGGGCGGGGGGCGGUGGGAAGCUUGUGGCCGGCCCUGGCGCUGCUCCGCCCGCCGCAGUAGUUUUCUGCAGGGGCUUGUACUGUCCGGCUGCCUGACACCCUGAGCCGCCUCCGCCUCGCAAUGUUUCGCUGGAGCAUUAAUCGCUUUUGUGCUGGCGAAGAGAAACGAGUUGGUACACGCACCGUGUUUGUUGGCCAACGCCCAGUUUCAGAAACAGAUGCUUACUUCGAGCAGAAAUUCUGUGAUAAUAGAAUUGUCUCAUCCAAGUACACUGUCUGGAAUUUUCUUCCGAAGAAUCUAUUUGAACAGUUUAGAAGAAUUGCCAACUUUUAUUUCCUUAUCAUUUUCCUUGUGCAGGUCAUAGUAGACACACCAACCAGCCCAGUAACCAGUGGACUUCCACUUUUCUUUGUGAUUAUUGUUACAGCUAUCAAACAGGGCUAUGAGGACUGGCUGAGACACAGAGCGGACAAGGAAGUAAAUAAAAGCAGCGUCUUCAUUGUUGAAAAUGCAAAGCAAGUGAAAAAACACAGCGAAAAAAUCAAGGUUGGAGACAUUGUAGAAGUGAAAGCAGACGAAACCUUCCCCUGUGAUCUGAUAUUCUUGGCAUCGAGUAAUGACGAUGGGAUCUGCUACGUCACGACGGCAAGUCUGGAUGGCGAGUCGAAUUUCAAGACUCAUUACGCAGUGCGAGAUACUAUUGGGCUCCUGUCAGACGACGACAUCGACUCCCUUACUGCCACAAUUGAAUGUGAGCAGCCUCAACCUGACCUCUACAGAUUUGUUGGAAGAAUUAACAUCUACAGAAGUAACCAGGAGCCUGUAGCCCGGUCUUUGGGUCCCGAAAGCCUGCUGCUGAAGGGUUCUACUUUAAAAAAUACAAAGAAGAUUUAUGGAGUUGCGGUUUAUACUGGAAUGGAAACAAAAAUGGCUUUGAACUACCAAGGAAAAUCACAAAAACGUUCAGCUGUAGAAAAAUCAAUCAACGCCUUCUUGAUGGUAUAUUUAUGCAUCUUAGUGAGUAAAGCUAUGGUGUGCACCACUCUGAAAUACAUCUGGCAGAGUAAUCCAUUUAAUGAUGAGCCAUGGUAUAACCAAAAGACAAAAAAAGAAAGGGAUACGUUCAAGAUCUUAAGAAUGUUCACAGACUUCCUGUCGUUUAUGGUUCUGUUCAAUUUCAUUAUCCCGGUCUCCAUGUAUGUUACUGUAGAAAUGCAAAAAUUCUUGGGCUCCUUCUUUAUUGCUUGGGAUAAGGAGAUGUAUGAUGAAGAAAUCCAGGAAGGAGCACUGGUGAAUACCUCGGACCUCAACGAAGAACUUGGUCAGGUCGAGUAUGUGUUCACAGACAAAACUGGAACCCUUACUGAAAACAACAUGAAGUUCAUUGAGUGCUGCAUAGAUGGACACAAGUACAGAGGCGGAAUUUCAGAGGUGGAUGGGUUCUCUCACACGGACGGACCCAUGACAUAUUAUGGGAAAGCACUAAAGUGUCGAGAAGAGCUGUUCCUCCGUGCUUUGUGUCUGUGCCAUACAGUUCAAAUCAAAGAAGGAGACAAUGUAGAUGGAUUGAUAGUAAACCAGGAGCGCAGAACCUAUAUCUCCUCUUCACCAGAUGAAAUAGCUUUGGUAAAAGGUGCCAAAAAGUAUGGUUUCACUUUUCUAGGACAUGAAAAUGAUUUCAUGAAAGUACAAAACCAAAAGAACGAAAUCGAAAAGUAUCAGCUUCUUCAUGUAUUAAACUUUGAUCCUGUCCGCCGCCGGAUGAGUGUUGUUGUGAAAACCAGUGCAGAAAAGUUCCUCCUAUUCUGUAAAGGAGCAGACUCUUCUAUUUUUCCAAGAGUACAACAAGAUGAAAUACAACAAACUAAAGUGCAUGUAGAACGUAAUGCAAUGGAUGGAUAUCGAACUCUUUGUGUGGCCUUCAAAGAACUAACUCAAGAGGACUAUAAAAAAAUUGAUGGACAGCUCAGUGAAGCAAAAAUGGCUCUACAGGACAGAGAAGAAAAGAUGGCCAGGAUUUUUGAUGACAUAGAGACCGACAUGCAUUUGAUUGGGGCUACUGCUGUGGAAGACAGACUUCAGGAGCACGCAGCGGAAACCAUCGAGGCCCUGCAAACAGCAGGCAUGAAGGUCUGGGUGCUUACUGGGGACAAGAUGGAAACUGCAAAAUCUACCUGCUAUGCCUCCAAGCUCUUCCAGACAAACACCGAAUUACUGGAGCUGACCGCAAAAACGAUGGGAGACAGCAACAGGAAAGAGGAUCGAUUACACGAGCUGUUGCUAGAGUAUCAUAAAAAGCUGCUGCAGGAUUUCCCCAAAAAUAGCGGAAAGCUUAAAAGGAGCUGGACAGUGAGUCAAGAAUAUGGACUGAUUAUAGAUGGCUCGACGCUGUCGCUGAUAUUAAAUCCUUCCCAGGAUACCAGUUCCAGUAAUUACAAAAGCAUUUUUCUACAGAUUUGCCUGAAAUGUGCUGCAGUUCUAUGUUGUCGGAUGGCUCCUUUGCAGAAAGCCCAGAUUGUUAGAAUGGUGAAAAACACCAAGGGCAAUCCAAUAACACUAUCAGUAGGAGAUGGUGCCAAUGAUGUUAGCAUGAUCUUGGAAGCACAUGUCGGAAUAGGUAUAAAAGGCAAAGAAGGUCGUCAGGCAGCAAGAAACAGUGACUAUGCUGUUCCAAGGUUUAAACAUUUAAGAAAAUUGCUACUAGCACAUGGGCAUUUAUAUUACGUGAGAAUAGCACACCUUGUACAGUAUUUUUUCUAUAAGAACCUUUGCUUCAUUUUACCACAAUUUUUAUACCAGUUCUUCUGUGGAUUCUCGCAACAGCCUCUGUAUGAUGCUGCUUACCUUACAAUGUACAACAUCUGCUUCACAUCACUACCUAUCCUGGCCUACAGUCUACUGGAGCAGCAUAUAAACAUUGAAACUCUGACCUCAGAUCCAAGAUUGUAUAUGAAAAUUUCCGAUAAUGCCAUGUUACAGUGGAAGCCUUUCUUAUACUGGACCUUUCUGGGCGCCUUUGAAGGACUUGUGUUUUUCUUUGGAGUUUACUUUCUUUUUCAAAAUUCAUCAUUAGAAGAUAAUGGAAAGGUUUUUGGGAACUGGACGUUUGGAACUAUUGUUUUCACUAUAUUAGUGUUCACCGUCACUCUGAAGCUAGCGUUAGAUACUCGAUUCUGGACCUGGAUGAACCACUUUGUGAUUUGGGGCUCCUUAGCCUUUUAUGUCUUUUUCUCGUUCUUUUGGGGAGGAAUCAUUUGGCCUUUCUUGAAGCAGCAACGAAUGUAUUUUGUAUUUGCUCAUAUGGUGACGUCCGUCUCAGCCUGGCUGGCCAUAGUUCUCCUUAUCUUUAUCAGCCUUUUCCCAGAGAUUCUUCUAGUAGUUUUUAAAAAUGCGAAAAGGAAAAACCAUCAGACUGUACCCUUUAAUCUGCCUAUGCUAUUGUCCUACAAACCUAUGGAGAAUGGUUACAUUUCUGAAACGAAGAUCGAAGAUGCAGUUACUAACUUGACACAACAAUACCAUCUCAGGGUACCUCAAAUGCAACAACUUUAAACACUGCUCCUUGUCGUGCCACAGGACAAGCCGUGUGUUUGAACUCACAGUUCUCCUUUAAAAUAACACAUGUAUUGUAAGCAGCUGCGGCCCUCAUUUUUUCAAAGUCUGAAAAUGGAAAAGUCUGGGACAUAAGAAGGCCAUGGAAUCGGGAGUGGAGAAAAGGAUGUCUAGAAUUCCAUAAAAAUGGAACAAUAGUAACUUUAGAGACACAUGGAUGCUCCUUAUGCCCACUGAAAAGAAGGAGGUUCCUCCAUUACAGAUUCAUCCAAUAGCAGUGAAUGGCCACUAAAGUCUUAUUCUUUUGCCUGACCAAAGAAGUAGCACAGCCUUUCUGCUUAAUCACAGUCUUAUCCAACUCCCAUGGAAGACAUUGGAAAGGCUCCCAUCAUGGAAGUUGGGUUGGACCCGAAAUUAGAACCGUGUUCUGUCGUCUCGCACAGCUCCCAUGGCUGCUAGUGAGAGCUGUGCACCAGCUGCUGAAGCCAGGAAGUGAUUGUUAGAAAAGUUCAGCUUUCAAAUCCACGCAGCAGAACUACUUGAAAAUAUUGACGGACUGAGCUGUUGAUGGCGUGAAAUGUCCAGUGGCGAACAGCAGGGUUAGAGCUGUUAAAUGUUCUCUGUUUAUUAAAAUGCAGAAGUGUGUGUCAGCCUGAACAUUUCUGAGGAGCUGAUCAAAAUAUUUGAAGAGUUUUCAUGUGGCAAGACUUCUUUUCCACGUUACCAGAUUUGUUUCUGGAACAGGAGGAAGACAUAAUAACUAACUCUCUCCCCUUCUGUAUUAAAAAUACACAGAAUUCCUUUAUUACUCAUAAAAAAAAAUAGUCUUAGUCAGGAAAGAAUCUUAAAUAAAAGUUGUGUUGUGGCAGGUUUUCAGCCCAAGCUUAACUGGGCCUCUGUAGUUAUGCUCACACUUCUGUGAAUGUAAUUGCAGUUGUUUCGACACCUUAAAGACCCGAAUGGUAGUCACAACCAGGCCCUUAAGUGACCCAUUGACAUUGAUUGUGCUUGCAAAUAAUACCAGAUAAAUCUGCAACCUUCAUUAUCUGCAUCAACAAAAAGGGAGGUCAGUUUAAAAAUAAGUGAAUAAAUGCAUCUGGUUCUCUGAGUAACAUUUUACUAGGUUCUAAAAUCAGCAGAUUUUUUAAAAAAAUUGCAGGUUAAGAUGUUGAUUUAAUGCCAUGUGUGCACAGCAUAAAGGUAAAUUGCUGGGCAACCAACUUCUGUUUGUUUUUUAUUAUGCAGGAAAACAAUACUACUUUGAUUAUAAAAAGUCCCGAGUGAGCACACUGAGUGAGAUUAAGUGCAAUUGGCAUUUUAUUUUUUGAAUGAUAUUUUUCCACCAGGUUGACUUCCCCAUCAUCCUGUAUGGCCCAGGUUUCCCUGUGCCAUAUAAAGCGGGAAAAAAAGACUUGGGGUAAAAAUUUUCAAAGUAUGUAAGUCCCAUUUUCUUGGGCUCCCAAGUCUUAUUGCAAGUCAAUGGGACUUAGGCUCCCAAGUCACUUGGGCACUUUUGACAAUUUUACCUUUAGGCUUUGCUUUGCUCAUGCACAAAGAGACUAGAAAUUAGGGCUGGACAGAAAAUUCCCAUCACCAUGAAAUAUCGAUGAACAACAGAAAAGAAUUUUGCAAAAAAUAAUUGUCCAUUCCCUCCCUUCAGAAACUUUGGAAACUCUAAACCUGUAAAGGAGUUGGCACUACUGUUAUCAGAAAGCUACGCACCUGAUUGUAUGCCUGGUAAUAGACUUGGUUUUUAAAAACACUGACCGGAUGUUGAGUCUCUUGGCCUCUCUUCUGCUGCCUCUGAAGUAGUCGGGAUGUUUUCUUAGGAGAAGCUGGAUUGGGUUCUCUUCCCCCCACCCCCAGUAAUUGCAGGCAAACCCUCAUAUAUAUCUAAGCAGUCACACAAAGCCUGCCAUUCAUGGAAAGCAAGGGGAAAGAGCAGAAACUGCAUGCGAGAGGCUUUUGCCACCCCUGCAGGUCAUGAGUGCUCUAUGCUACUCAACAUGGGGUGGGGGGAAAUGUGAGCAGGCCUCGUGGGUUGGACAACCAACCCCACAGCUCCUAAGACCUAACAUGGACAGGGGAGUGCUCAGCCCCAUUCACGGCAAAAGUGGCCAUGGCUCAGCCCCUCCUUGCUGAGGACAGGGGCGGGAUUGCAUUCCCCUUCAUAGUCCCUAUAACCAAGGCUCUUUUUCCUUUGGCUCGUCGCACGGGACUAGAAUGGAGCCUUAGUUCUUGUCUGGUCACCAGUGUUGAUGACUAACAGGUUGUGCCUACACGUUCGAGCACGAGGGGCACAUCCGCCCGAUACACUGACAAUACAGUCUGUUCGCCAACUCUGAGCUUUCUGCUUUAACGCACAGUUCUGUUUGUUGGUAUGUUUACAUAAUCUUCAAAAUGUGGGCACUGAAAGGCAGACUUCCAAUGAUCUGAGACCAUUCCAAGUCCGACGUGGACCGCCUCCCUCCUGGUUUGUUUCAUGUAGCAUUCUGCAUUGUUGGGAUCCAAUUCUGCUCUGGCUGACGCCAGCUGAAUUUUUCCUUUUGGCUUCAGCGAGAGCAGGAUUGCGGCUUGUUCUCAGGAGCACUGAAAGAGGGGGAAGGGGGGAAUAACUAUCCUGCAUUUUAAGAAUAAGCUUGAUUGGAACCAAAUUUUUCUCUUUCCAUCUCCAAAUAAUUAAUACUGGUGUAGAGUGAACCAUUUACUAUAGACGUACAUCUGAAACCAAAACUGAUGUGAGGAUCCACAAGGAUGGGCUGGAAUUAACACCAGACCCCUGGAAGACCAGCUGUAGAGUGUUGGAAAUGCAGGUUGGCUAUCUUGAGCAAGAGCCGUAGCUAGUGUAUUGGUGUAGGUCCACAGACUCCAGCAGAGCUAUGCUGAUGUACACCAGCUAAAUGUAUGACCCUCCGGAUUCAAAACUAGCAAACUCCACAUCUAUUGCUUCUUGGGGACCUGUGGUAUAAAAGAGAACAGAAUUAAUUCUGGAAUUAGGGAGGUCCUGCAGCUGAGGUCCUGCCAAAGAUUAAAUAGCUCAGAAUGGCAAUAAUUUGACAGUAACACAGUAAUACCGAGAUUGUUGUUCAUAUAAAACAAUACAAGUUGUAUUGUUAUGGCACAUUUCAGUAAUGAGCUAAAAGGUCAGUAGCAGCUUAUAGGUGGAAAAUCUUGAAGGAAACUGGUUAGUGUGUCUAACAAUCCCUGCAGAUUAAUCACACUGAUUAGUGACACAGAAAGUUAAGAAAAGUAACUAGACUUGCUCGAAGCACUAGUGAACAUUUUCAUAAACUAAUCUUUGUAUGAGGAUAGUAUAAAUUGUCAGGAAUUACAUACAAAUUAAAAUGCAAAUUUGCAUACCUACCUACCAGUGGAAGAUACAAUUAAUAUCACUGUUGUGCCCCUCAUCCAACUUCUCAGCUAUGGAUUUUUUUUUUAAAUAUGGUAGCAUAUAAAAAGGUGUAAAUUGUACACAGUUGAAGAGAAGAAACAUUUUUCAGCUUCUUUUUUAAAAAAAAGGGACUGCAAACUUACUUUCCCCCCCUCCCCACUUAAAAUGCAAUUUUAUACAUGUGUUGCUUUAUAUAACAGAUAUUGAAUGUGAAUGUUACCUUUUAUGAAUGCAACUUGCCCUUUUUCAUUACAGAAACUUCUGUUUGAAGUAAUCAAUAAACUUUGGUAUGUUGUUCUGAU